AUUGAACGCUGGCGGCAUGCCUUACACAUGCAAGUCGAACGGCAGCACGGGGCAACCUGGUGGCGAGUGGCGAACGGGUGAGUAAUGCAUCGGAACGUACCUUUCAGUGGGGGGUAACGUAGCGAAAGUUACGCUAAUACCGCAUAUUCUGUGAGCAGGAAAGCAGGGGAUCGCAAGACCUUGCGCUGAUUGAGCGGCCGAUGUCAGAUUAGCUAGUUGGUGAGGUAAAGGCUCACCAAGGCGACGAUCUGUAGCGGGUCUGAGAGGAUGAUCCGCCACACUGGAACUGAGACACGGUCCAGACUCCUACGGGAGGCAGCAGUGGGGAAUUUUGGACAAUGGGGGCAACCCUGAUUCAGCCAUGCCGCGUGAGUGAAGAAGGCCUUCGGGUUGUAAAGCUCUUUCGGCCGGGAAGAAAUCGCACGGGCUAAUACCCUGUGUGGAUGACGGUACCGGAAUAAGAAGCACCGGCUAGCUACGUGCCAGCCGCCGCGGUAAGAC
rnacentral:rRNA from 1 species